CGUGGACAAGAGCACCGAAGAGAAGCACGGUGACAGAAGGGGCAGCCACCCACGGUCAGAGCUCGAGUCGGGUCCGAUCCUGACUGCCUUUGGGAAUACAGUCAGCAGGCUUGGGUUUCAUCCUGGGAGCUGCGAGGCCACAGGUGCAUUUCUGACAAGGUCCAGACUUGCUCUCAAACUUUUCAAACAAGGCACCUCUGAUUGCAGUGUGGACACGUUCCAGAAGCAGGAAAAUCAGCAUGGAGGCCAGUGAGGAGGUUUUGAUGAAGAGAUGGCGGAGAGAUCAGAAUACAUUUUGGAGGCAGAAUGAACAGGACUAAGCGUGACCGUGUGUUUGUCGUCCUCGCAGAGGAGAUUGAAGGCCGGCAUACCGUAUGACACUCGGACGCAGCCUUUUCUUUGAGGUGUGUUCACUCCAAAAGGAAUCGUAAAUUAGGAACAAAAGAGAAGUGAUGAAAAUCUCGGAGUGUCUUAUUUCUCCAGCACAACAAAGUGGCAGGUGGGGCUUGAAAGUUCUUUCCGGUGGAGUAUUUGUCGCAGAUAAGAGCACGGAGUUCAGGGAAGGAAUUCUCGCUGUUGACUGCGAGUUAGCUGCUGUGUGAACUGUGCACUGAGAAAGCGCCAAGGGACUGCUGAAUACAUUGGACCACAAGGAGUGUGCUGGAGGUAGAAAUCGGAGGCGCUGUGAAGAGGCACAGGCUUUUUAAACGCACAACCAAUCAGAGUGUCCCUGAAGAACCUCGCAAGUAUUCCGAAAAGAGGAAAAGUUAAGAACAAACCGAAUUUUACAUUAAGCUAGGAAAAUUGAUGGCCACGUGGAACCUCAUCAUUUAUGCCAGCAAAUGAGGCGGACAUGACUUACUGCAUGGGCUUUUCAGAUACACAACCCUUAGCAGCUACUGCCAACUGCUGGCUUUUCCAAAAUGAUGCGGUUGGGAAAGCAGAAAAGAAAUCCUUGUAUUGAGUUGGGCAGUGGAACGUGUCCGCAUGAAAGCAGAUGCGGAUCACAACAUUCUUUUCGAAGAAAGGAGCUGCAAGUUUUCCAUUUACGAUGUCUUCUGGUCUUAGCUCUGGCGGUCCCUGCUGCCGCUGUCCCAGAAUGAAUUCCCCAGUGGAAACACCGACACGAAUCUUCCCUCUGAUUCCUGAACUCCUGUCAAAGGAGAUGCCAGCUGUGUGUAGAGAUUCAAAACGCUAGUGUGGCAGAUAGUUCUUUUUGUUUCCCAAACCCAGCUGCCUAAGUGGAUACUACAUUCAAGAACCUUCAUCUGGUGAUGGAUGGAGAUAGAGACAGAGACCCACACUGGAGCACUGGACUGAGCUCCCAAGGUCCCAAUGAGAAGCAGAUGGAGGGAGAACACGAGCAAGGAUGUCAGGACCACGGGGGGUGCACCCACCCACUGAGACAGUGGGGCUGAUCUAUUGGGAGCUCACCAAAGCCAGCUGGACUGUGACUGAAACAGCAUGGGAUAAAACCGGACUCUCUGAUCAUGGCGAACAAUGAGGACUGAUGAGAAGCCAAGGUCAAUGGCAAGGGGUUUUGAUCCUACUUCAUGUUCUGGCUUGAUGGGAGCCUAGCCAGUUUGGAUGUUCACCUUCCUAGACAUGGACGGAGGGGGGAGGACCUUGGACU